UAUUCCGUGGCUUAGUUGGUUAAAGCACCGGUCUAGCGAAUACAAAGUCGUGGGUUCGAUUCCCUCCAGAAAAC
rnacentral:tRNA from 1 species